rnacentral:rRNA from 1 species
GACGAACGCUGGCGGCGUGCCUAAUACAUGCAAGUAGAACGCAGUUGCGAACGGGUGAGUAACGCGUAGGUAACUGCCUCAUAGCGGGGGAUAACUAUUGGCAACGAUAGCUAAUACCGCUUACUGUGAGAUGGACCUGCCUUGUAUUAGCUAGUUGGUUAGGUAAAGGCUCACCAAGGCGACGAUACAUAGCCGACCUGAGAGGGUGAUCGGCCACACUGGGAAUGAGAAACGGCUCAGACUGCUACCGGAGGCAGCAGUAGGGAAUCUUCGGCAAUGGGCGGAAGUCUGACCGAGCAAGGCCGCGGGAUGGAAGAAAGUUUUUGGGACGAAAAGCUCUGUUAGUAGAGAAGCGGUAACUAACGAGAAAGGGACGGCUAACUACGUGCCAGCAGCCGCGGUAAUUC